rnacentral:rRNA from 1 species
AAGCGCAAUAUGCCGGCGGGUGGAUGGCUCGGCUCGGGAGCCGAGGAAGGGCGUGGCAAGCUGCGAUAAGCCCGGGGUAGGCGCAGGCAGCCGUUGAACCCGGGAUCCCCGAAUGGGAAUCCUGCCCUCGGGCGCUCCCGGCAGGGAGCGGGAACGCGGGGAAUUGAAACAUCUUAGUACCCGCAGGAAAAGAAACCAAACGGGAUGCCGUGAGUAGCGGCGAGCGAAAACGGCACAGCCCAAACCGAACCCGCUUGCGACGAGCAAGUGGGGAUGUGGGGUUGUGGGACCCCCGUUAAGCCCGACCCGGGAUAGCCGAAGUCCCCUGGAAAGGGGCGCCGUAGAGGGUGAUAGCCCCGUAGGCGAAAUCCCGGAGGGUGGAGGGGGUAUCCCGAGUACCGGCCCUCGGUAUUGGGUCGGGAAUCCGGGUGGCACCGCCAUCCAAGGCUAAAUACUCCCCGAGUCCGAUAGCGAACUAGUACCGUGAGGGAAAGCUGAAAAGCACCCCUGACGGGGGGUGAAAAGAGCCUGAAACCCGUCGGCGACAGUCAGCUGGGGCCUGAAAGGAGCUUUGCUCCGGGGUUCCAGCGUCGGUUUGGGAUAACUGGCCAGGGAGUCCGUGGCAGUGGCGAGGUUAAGCCCCUUGCGGGGCGGAGCCGAAGCGAAAGCGACAAGCCCGCAGCCCCUACUGGGGCGAGGGGCGCCGUCCGAUAAGGGCGGGGAGUCACUGUCACGGGACCCGAAGCCCGGCGAUCUAGCCGUGGGCAGGGCGAAGCCGGGGCAACCCCCCGGUGGAGGCCCGAAGGGGUCGUGCGACAGAGCCGUCCUCUGACCUGCGGCUAGGGGUGAAAGGCCAAUCGAGCCGGGCGAUAGCGGGUUCUCCCCGAAACGUCGCCCCAGGGCGGCCCCGCCGGAGGUGCCGUGGCGGGUAGAGCUACGGAUGGGAGGUCACGGGGUCGAAAGGCCUCGCCCUCCCGUCCAACUCCGAACCGUUACGGACCGUAGAAGGCGGGAGGCGGGCAGCCGGGUAAGCCGUCUGUCCGAGAGGGGAACAACCCAGACCGGGGUUAAGGGCCCAAAGUGCCGGCUAAGUGUGAAAGGCGGAAGGUUGUCCGGAGCCUAAGACAGGGGGAAGGUAGGCUUAGAAGCAGCCAUCCUCUAAGGAGUGCGUAAAAGCUCACCCCCCGAGGUUCCGGGCGCCGAAGAUGGACGGGGCUAAGCCGGCCCCCGAGACCCCGGACCUGCCCGUAGGGGCAGGGGGUAGGGGAGCGCCGCGGUGGGGUAGAAGCAGGGCCGUGAGGUCCUGUGGACCCGCCGGGGACGAGAAUCCUGGUGGUAGUAGCAGCAUAGCCGGGUGAGAAUCCCGGCCGCCGAAGGGGCAAGGGUUCCUCCGCAAUGCUCGUCAGCGGAGGGUUAGGCGGUCCUAACCUGGCCCGUAACCCGGCGCCAGGGAAAGGGAAGCCGGUUAAUAUUCCGGCCCCGCGGGUGUAGGUGCGGCAACGCAAGCCGCACAGGGGACGCCUCGGGCUAGGGUGAGUGGGGCUGUCGCCCCAUCUAACCUGUGAAGCCCCCGGAGUGCCGUAAUGGCGAGAAGGGGGUGAAGCAGGGAAUGGCCUGCCCAUUUUUGGGUGGGUUUGCCCGACGCCUGGGGCCCGUGAAAACCCUGUGCGGAACGAAGCCCGCGACCGUACCCACAACCGACACAGGUGCCCCUGGGUGAGAAGCCCAAGGCGUGUCGGGGGUAACCCGGGCGAGGGAACUCGGCAAAUUAGCCCCGUAACUUCGGGAUAAGGGGUGCCCGUCCUCGUGUAGAGGGCGGGUCGCAGUGACAAGGGGGGCCCGACUGUUUAACAAAAACAUAGCCGACCGCAAUCCCGUAAGGGCCAGUACGGUCGGUGAGGCCUUCCCACUGCCGGUUACUGAAACCCCGGUUCAACGGGGUGAAGGGCCGGUGAAGGGAGGGGGUAACUGUGACCCUCUUAAGGUAGCGAAAUACCUUGCCGGUUAAAUGCCGGCGCGCAUGAAGGCUAAACGAGGUCCCCGCUGUCCCCGCCCGGGACCCGGCGAACCACUCCUUCCCCGUGUGAAGGCGGGGGAGCCCCACCGGGUCGCAGAGACCCCGUGGAGCUUUACUGCAGCCUGCCGUUGCCUCGUGGGCUGGGGUGCAUAGUGUAGGUGGGAGCCGUCGAAGCCGCCCUUGCGGGGGCGGUGGAGGCGCCAAUGGAACACCACCCUCCUUGGCCUGCGGGGCUAACUCCGUGAGGAGGACAGCGGUAGGUGGGCAGUUUGGCUGGGGCGGCACCCCGACGAUAAGGAAUCAUCGGGGCCCAAAGGUCGCCUCAGGGGGGUCAGAACUCCCCCGUGGAGGGCAAGGCCAAAAGGCGGCCUGACGGGAUGGAGCACAAUGGUCCAUCCCGAGCCGAAAGGCGGGCCUAGCGAACCUCCGUGUCCCUCGCGGUGAGGGCCGGAGCUGUCAGAAAAGCUACCCCGGGGAUAACAGACCUGUGCCGGGCGAGAGUACCCAUCGACCCCGGCGUUUGGGGCCUCGCUGUCGGCUCUCCCCAUCCUGGCCGUGCAGGAGCGGCCAAGGGUGCGGGUGUUCACCGGUUAAAGGGGAUCGUGAGCUGGGUUCAGUACGUCGCGAGACAGUACGGUUGUUAACUGGUGGGGCUGUUCCGUGGCUGAGGGGAAGGGGAGGCAAGUACGAGAGGAACGCCUCCCCCCGGCCUACGGUGAGCGGCUGUCCGACAGGGCAAGCCGCGCAGCCGCGCCGGAGUGGAUAAGGGCUGAAAGCAUCUAAGCCCGAAGCCACCCCCGAAAAGAGCCACGGUUUGAGGGCGCGGGUAGAAGACCCGGUUGAUAGGCGGGCGGUGUAAGCGGGGAGCUUCGGCGACCCGUUCAGCCGGCCCGUACUAAGAGCCCGAAGCGCUUC